GGCUGCGAUCAUACCAGCACUAAUGCACCGGAUCCCAUCAGAACUCCGCAGUUAAGCGUGCUUGGGCGAGAGUAGUACUAGGAUAGGUGACCCCCUGGGAAGUCCUCGUGUUGCAACCC
rnacentral:rRNA from 1 species